AUUGAACGCUGGCGGCAGGCCUAACACAUGCAAGUCGAGCGGAUGAAGGGAGCUUGCUCCUGGAUUCAGCGGCGGACGGGUGAGUAAUGCCUAGGAAUCUGCCUGGUAGUGGGGGAUAACGUCCGGAAACGGGCGCUAAUACCGCAUACGUCCUGCGGGAGAAAGUGGGGGAUCUUCGGACCUCACGCUAUCAGAUGAGCCUAGGUCGGAUUAGCUAGUUGGUGGGGUAAAGGCCUACCAAGGGGACGAUCCGUAACUGGUCUGAGAGGAUGAUCAGUCACACUGGAACUGAGACACGGUCCAGACUCCUACGGGAGGCAGCAGUGGGGAAUAUUGGACAAUGGGCGAAAGCCUGAUCCAGCCAUGCCGCGUGUGUGAAGAAGGUCUUCGGAUUGUAAAGCACGUUAAGUUGGGAGGAAGGGCAGUAAGUUAAUACCUUGCUGUUGUGACGUUACCAACAGAAUAAGCACCGGCUAACUUCGUG
rnacentral:rRNA from 1 species